rnacentral:pre_miRNA from 1 species
GAGCUACUCCCUCCGUUCCACAAUACAUGUCUUCCAUUUGUCAAAAUAUAGAUGUAUCUAGACAUGUUUUAGUAUAUAGGUACAUCCAUUUUUUGACAAAUGGAAGUCAAGUAUUUUGGAACGGAGGGAGUAUAAU